UGGCUCAGACUCCAAGAGCAGGUGAGA
rnacentral:piRNA from 1 species